CAUUCGGAGUGUGCAACGUGUUCAUAUUCGUUCACAGUUAAAAGAGUAUACUUUGAAAGGCAAAGUGCGAUCUGAUCUGGAACGCACAAAAACAAAGUAUUCCUGGGCCUUAAGGCUAACAUCUCUUUUUGUUGUCAACAAAAGACAGUUCUAAAUGUUUAGAGCAACUUGAGGAGACAGUUGGCAUCCGGGUGGAUCAGAAGGUUUGUAAGGUCUGUAGAAAAAAGUACAUAUAAUUCAUUUGUCGAUGAGUCUGCACAUUUGUCUGCCAACCAGCCAUGUUGCCCCGUUCCAUGAGCAGAGCCUGAUGGGAAUGAGGUCACCAUUAAAGCGGCCAGAGAGACUGGCCAGGCUACAACAGCGGCACAAGCCAUUGUUCCUCCUCAAUAAGAUAUCACGUGAGCAGAAAAGCAUCUCAGAAUGCACAACACGUCAAACCUUGAGGUGGAUGGGCUACAACAGCCGAAGACCACGUCGGGUUCCACUUCUGUCAGCCAAGAACAGAAAGCUGAGGCUGCAGUGGGUACAAAACUGGACAGUUAAACUCUAGAGAUUGUUGUGCGUGAAAAUCCCAGGAGAUCAGCAGUUACAGAAAUACUCAAACCAGCCCAUCUGGCACCAACAAUCAUGCCACGGUCGAAAUCACGGUGAUAAAUUUUUCCCCCAUUCUGAUGGUUGAUGUGAACAUUAACUGAAGCUCCUGACCCGUAUCUGCUUGAUUUCAUGCUUUUCACUGCUGCCACAUGAUUGGUUGAUUAGAUAAUCACAUGAAUACGUUUGCAAGGCUGUAAACACAUUUUUAGGACUGAGAUAAUAUGUUUAACAAUAUUAACCUUAAUUAGUCCAAAUGUCUCGGUGACAAUAUACAGUACUUAUAGUAUUUAUUGCAUGACUUUUGUGAA